UACAUAGGCAGCGAGCGUUGUUCGGAGUUACUGGGCGUAAAGCGUGCGUAGGCGGUGUCUUAAGUUUGUUGUGAAAUCUCCCGGCUUAACCGGGAGGGUGCGGCGAAUACUGAGAUGCUGGAGUGCGGGAGAGGUAAGCGGAAUUCCCGGUGUAGAGGUGAAAUUCGUAGAUAUCGAGAGGAACACCGGUGGCGAAGGCGGCCAACUGGACAGAUACUGACGCUGAGACUCGAAAGCGUGGGGAGCAAACAGG
rnacentral:rRNA from 1 species